GCGAGUGUGGUGGAAUUGGUAGACACGCUAUCUUGAGGGGGUAGUGGCAGUAGCCGUACGAGUUCAAGUCUCGUCAUUCGCA
rnacentral:tRNA from 1 species